rnacentral:pre_miRNA from 1 species
UCUUUAAUUGCGUAGGGGAACCAAGCUAGUUCUUACCGCGGUGCUACAACAAGCAUAACAUCUAACACCGGGUAAAAACUAGCUCGGGUCCCCCUUGCAACA